AACGAACGCUGGCGGCAGGCUUAACACAUGCAAGUCGAACGCUCCGCAAGGAGAGUGGCAGACGGGUGAGUAACGCGUGGGAAUCUACCUAGUUCUACGGAACAACAGAGGGAAACUUCUGCUAAUACCGUAUACGCCCUAAGGGGGAAGAUUUAUCGGAAUUAGAUGAGCCCGCGUAAGAUUAGCUAGUUGGUGGGGUA
rnacentral:rRNA from 1 species